UUUGGGAUCAUGUGGACAUAGGCAGCAGCGAUCUCCCUGUGGAAGACCGUGUCUUGGUUGUAGGAAAUAAGUUCAUUACUGAUGUUUACCGUCUGCACGGGGGUCCGGAAGCAGAGGUGGCUGCACCCCAGCAGCUGAGCGAACACCUUCCGGAAGUCUGCAUUAAAGGCAUAGAUGAUGGGGUUGAGAGAGGAGUUGGCCCAGCCAAACCAGACGAAUAUGUCGAAGGUGGUCUCGCUGACACAAGGGAAGCCAGUCCUUGGGCCCUGGGCAUCUCCACUGCUGCAGAAGGGAACCAUACAGUUCAGGAUGAAGAAAGGCAACCAGCAGCACACGAAGACCCCCAUGAUCAUGGACAGAGUUUUGAAGACCUUGGUCUCCUUCUUGAUGGAUGCUCGCAGGCUGGGGUCAGGUUCGCAGGCCCCACGGCUCCGGCAACUCUGAGCAUGCUCAGCUGCCCUCUCUAGGGAGGAGAUCCGGCGGAUCUGAACCUGUGCGAUGCGGUAGAUGCGCGUGUAGGUCACUAUCAUGAUGGCUACCGGGAUAUAGAAGCUGAUGAGCGACGAGGAGAUGGCGUAGGUUCGGUUCAGGCUGGAGUCACAGUUCUCUGUUCUCCCUUCUAGCUCCCAACCUUCCUCCCAGGGUGUCUCAUUGGACAGCAGGCCCUCUCGGCCCUGGGAGCCUGCCUUGUCUCUGUGCCAAUUGAGUUGGACCGGGAUGAAGGAGAUGAGGAUGGACAAGGUCCAGGCCAGGGCCACCAUGACCAGGGCUACACGCUGGGUCAUCUUGCGCUCAUAGCGAAAGGGUCUGGAAAUAGCCCAGUAACGGUCCACGCUGAUGAUACACAGAUUCAGGAUGGAAGCAGUGGAGCACAUGAUGUCAAAGGCCACCCAGAUGUCGCAGAAUGACCCAAAGGGCCAGUACCCGGCCACCUCAGCCACGGCCUUCCAAGGCAUAACCAGCAAUGCCACGAAGAGGUCUGAGACGGCCAGGGAUACGAUGAAGAUGUUGGUCAUUUUGGCGCGCAGGUGGCGGCUGCGGACGAUAGCAGCACACACUAGGACGUUGCCGAGCAAGGUCCAGACGAUUAGGAGAGUCAGAAGGCCAGCGGUAACCACCUGCGCGGGUCCCAGCGGGGUUGCCGAGCCCCCGGGGGCGUCCACCUGCGCCAGUUGCCUCUGCAACCCCAGCCGCGCCCGAUGUGCGGUGCCAUUGCGCCCAGGAGGCAGCAUGUCGCGCUGGGUAGCUCGGGCUCACUGCGUGCGAUCCCAACUUCGCCCCUGCGCCCCGCGGAAGGCCCCAUCGGGCACCCCAGAGGGUGCUCCCAGCCCUGCAGCUGACCGUCCCCGGACCCGAGGGGCGCUCACCCUGCACUGCUUGGGAUCCUUUAAUGGUAUCAGUCUUGCGCGCCUCUAGUCCCCAGGAUGGGACAGGAAGCGACCGGUGCCCGCGGGCCGAUCCUGUUGGCAGCGCGCCGGACGGCGGCUGCCGCUGCGUCUGGUUCUGAGUCGUAGAAACGCAGAGCGGCCGCCAACGGGGGCGGGGUCCAGAGUCGCGGGCACCGGGCGAUCUCUCUAGCGCGGUGGCUGCCACGGCACGCGCGCCGGUCCGCCCGCCCCUAUCAGCCACGCUUCUGCGGCCCGCGCGCCCUCCCACCUGCGUCCUGGAAUUGUGACUCUGCUGUCUUCUUCCAACUUUAGAGGCCACACACAGAUCUGAGAGUGGCCUCGGUGCCAUACCCUCUCCCCAAGCCCAGGAACUGGCUUCUCCCAAACACCAGGUGCCUCUCCUGGACCUCCUCUGGGUGAAGAAGUGGAUCGCAGAGGCCUCUAGACAAACCAGACUUGGAGAAUAAGGGGGUGGCCUUCGAUGUCACAACCUCAUCCCGAACCCCUAUUCUGGGUCACAGGACCCUGAAUUUUCUACUCAGCUUUUCUGGUUCUUGGUUUCUUCUCCUAGAAAGAGAGACAAAAAGAUCCCCUUCCUGGUUGCUCAAGGAUUUGAGUCACCCAGAAGGUAAUCGGGUGCUGCCUCCUGUUCCCCGCUGCUUGCCCUCCUCCCAGAAGCACUUACGCUUUGAGCAUCUCCCAGAGCCCUUGCAUCUGAACCUCCAAUACCUUUGCAUCUUUCUGCUGGGGGAGACGGACAGACCACUUGUCCCCGUGCCAGAGCACGAACUGGACAGUCAUUCUUCACUCGUGCCUCUCCUCUCUGCGACUGGUGGCCUUGUCUCUGAUUUCAUUAAGAUGCUUUAAAAAUCUGCAGCUCCAUCAUCCAUUGACACCCAAGCACUCGCUGAUGGGAGAAGUACAGAAAUUCAUGUCAUAGAAGGAAGAGGUUUGCACAGUGAAGCAAGAGAGAACCAGAUCAACCAUGGACUCCGUUUCCCAAUGUCCACAAAACUGCUGUUCAUGUCAGAGGCACAGCUACAACCUAUAGACUUGCUUAGGCCUUGGGGACACAGAGAGAACCAUAGACCUGCUCAUUCCCAUCUGGGCCUUGGCUUCUAAGAAGAGACAAAUAAUAAGAGGUUUGGACUGAGGGUGUAUCUCGGUGAUAGAACAGGAGUGCAUGAGGCCUGGGGUUCAAUCCGCAGCACC
rnacentral:lncRNA from 1 species